AGAGUUUGAUCCUGGCUCAGAACGAACGCUGGCGGCGUGCUUAACACAUGCAAGUCGAACGAGAAAACUUUGGCUUGCCAAAGUGAGUAAAGUGGCGCACGGGUGAGUAACACGUGGGUAAUCUACCUCUAAGUUAGGGAUAACACUACGAAAGUGGUGCUAAUACCGAAUAAGCUCACAGCUUCUGAUGAAGCAAUGAGAAAAGGUGGCCUCUGAUAUAAGCUAUCGCUUGGAGAUGAGCCCGCGCACCAUUAGCUUGUUGGUUGGGUAAUGGCCUACCAAGGCUACGAUGGUUAGCUGGCCUGAGAGGGCGGUCAGCCACACUGGAACUGAGAUACGGUCCAGACUCCUACGGGAGGCAGCAGUGGGGAAUAUUGCGCAAUGGGGGAAACCCUGACGCAGCGACGCCGUGUGAGUGAUGAAGGCCUUCGGGUCGUAAAGCUCUGUCAGACGGGAAGAAUAAGGGCAGUGAGAGUAUUUCUGUCCGAUGACGGUACCGUCAGAGGAAGCACCGGCUAACUCCGUGCCAGCAGCCGCGGUAAUACGGAGGGUGCAAGCGUUGUUCGGAAUUAUUGGGCGUAAAGCGCGUGUAGGCGGAUAUGUAGGUCAGAUGUGAAAUCCCUUGGCUCAACUAAGGAAGUGCAUCUGAAACCAUAUAUCUUGAGUACGACAGAGGAGAGUGGAAUUCCCAGUGUAGAGGUGAAAUUCAUAGAUAUUGGGAAGAACACCAGUGGCGAAGGCGUCUCUCUGGGUCGAUACUGACGCUGAGACGCGAAAGCGUGGGGAGCAAACAGGAUUAGAUACCCUGGUAGUCCACGCCGUAAACGAUGUGCACUAGGUGUUGGAAGUAAUUAAACUUUCAGUGCCGCAGCUAACGCAUUAAGUGCACCGCCUGGGGAUUACGGCCGCAAGGCUAAAACUCAAAGGAAUUGGCGGGGGCCCGCACAAGCGGUGGAGUAUGUGGUUUAAUUCGACGCAACGCGCAAAACCUUACCUGGGCUUGACAUCCCGUUCGUAUCCACUGGAAACAGAGGAGUCAGUUCGGCUGGAACGGUGACAGGUGCUGCAUGGCUGUCGUCAGCUCGUGUCGUGAGAUGUUGGGUUAAGUCCCGCAACGAGCGCAACCCUUACUAUUAGUUGCCAUCUAUUAAAGUAGGGCACUCUAAUGGAACUGCCUCGGUUAACGGGGAGGAAGGUGGGGACGACGUCAAGUCCUCAUGGCCUUUAUGCCCAGGGCUACACACGUACUACAAUGGCUAGUACAAAGGGCAGCGAACUCGCAAGGGUAAGCAAAUCCCAAAAAACUGGUCUUAGUUCGGAUUGGAGUCUGCAACUCGAUUCCAUGAAGUCGGAAUCGCUAGUAAUCGCGAAUCAGCAUGUCGCGGUUAAUACGUUCUCGGGCCUUGUACACACCGCCCGUCACACCACGAAAGUCGGCUGUACUAGAUGUCGUUGAGCUAAUCCUGAUAAAGGAAGGCAAACGCCGACGGUAUAGUUGGUAAUUGGGGUGAAGUCGUAACAAGGUA
rnacentral:rRNA from 1 species